UACGUAGGGAGCGAGCGUUGUCCGGAAUCAUUGGGCGUAAAGCGCGUGUAGGCGGCCCGAUAAGUCCGCUGUGAAAGUCCAGGGCUCAACCCUGGAAUGCCGGUGGAUACUGUCGGGCUCGAGUCCGGAAGAGGCGAGUGGAAUUCCUGGUGUAGCGGUGAAAUGCGCAGAUAUCAGGAGGAACACCGAUGGCAAAGGCAGCUCGCUGGGACGGUACUGACGCUGAGACGCGAAAGCGUGGGGAGCAAACAGG
rnacentral:rRNA from 1 species